AUUGAACGCUGGCGGCAGGCCUAACACAUGCAAGUCGAGCGGAUGAAGGGAGCUUGCUCCUGGAUUCAGCGGCGGACGGGUGAGUAAUGCCUAGGAAUCUGCCUGGUAGUGGGGGAUAACGUCCUGAAACGGGCUCUAAUACCGCAUACGUCCUGAGGGAGAAAGUGGGGGAUCUUCGGACCUCACGCUAUCAUAUUAGGCUAGGUCGGAUGAACUAGUUGGUGGGGUAAAGGCAUACCAAGGCGACGAUGCGUAACUGGUCUGAGAGGAUGAUCAGUCACACUGGAACUGAGAAUCGGCACAGACUCCUAAGGGAAGACGCAGUCGGGACUAUUGGAGAAUGGACGAAAGGCUAAUACAGAAAUGCCGGCUGAGUGAAGAGGGUGCUCGGAUUGGAAAGUACUGUAAGUUGGGAGGAAGGGAAGUAAGUUAAUCCUUUACUGUAAUGACGGUACCAACAGAAUAAGCACCGGCUAACUUCGUG
rnacentral:rRNA from 1 species